GCCGGGCAUGGUUGCGCAUGCCUAUAAUCCCAGCUACUCUGAAGGCUGAGGCAGGAGAAUCACUUGAGCCCAGGAGACAGAGGCUGCAGUGAGCCGAGAUCGCGCCACUGCACUCCAGCCUGGACGACAGAGUGAGACCCUGUCUCAA
ensembl:misc_RNA Metazoa_SRP Metazoan signal recognition particle RNA